rnacentral:rRNA from 1 species
CUAAUCUGCGAUAAGCGUCGGUAAGGUGAUAUGAACCGUUAUAACCGGCGAUUUCCGAAUGGGGAAACCCAGUGUGAUUCGUCACACUAUCAUUAACUGAAUCCAUAGGUUAAUGAGGCGAACCGGGGGAACUGAAACAUCUAAGUACCCCGAGGAAAAGAAAUCAACCGAGAUUCCCCCAGUAGCGGCGAGCGAACGGGGAGGAGCCCAGAGCCUGAAUCAGUGUGUGUGUUAGUGGAAGCGUCUGGAAAGGCGCGCGAUACAGGGUGACAGCCCCGUACACAAAAAUGCACAUGCUGUGAGCUCGAUGAGUAGGGCGGGACACGUGGUA